UCAUGCGGAUGAGCAAAGAAAGUGGGUUUCUUGAGGUGGAAUCUACUUCUGGUGAAGAUGCUGCGAA
rnacentral:pre_miRNA from 1 species